rnacentral:rRNA from 1 species
GAUGAGCGCUGGCGGCGUGCCUAAUACAUGCAAGUCGAGCGAACAGACGAGGAGCUUGCUCCUCUGACGUUAGCGGCGGACGGGUGAGUAACACGUGGAUAACCUACCUAUAAGACUGGGAUAACUUCGGGAAACCGGAGCUAAUACCGGAUAAUAUAUUGAACCGCAGGGUUCAAUAGUGAAAGACGGGUUUGCUGUCACUUAUAGAUGGAUCCGCGCCGCAUUAGCUAGUUGGUAAGGUAACGGCUUACCAAGGCAACGAUGCGUAGCCGACCUGAGAGGGUGAUCGGCCACACUGGAACUGAGACACGGUCCAGACUCCUACGGGAGGCAGCAGUAGGGAAUCUUCCGCAAUGGGCGAAAGCCUGACGGAGCAACGCCGCGUGAGUGAUGAAGGUCUUCGGAUCGUAAAACUCUGUUAUUAGGGAAGAACAAAUGUGUAAGUAACUAUGCACGUCUUGACGGUACCUAAUCAGAAAGCCACGGCUAACUACGUG